AGUCGAACGUGAAAGCACUUCGGUGUGAGUAGAGUGGCGGACGGGUGAGUAACGCGUGGGAAUCUGCCCAGUAGUGGGGGACAACUACCGGAAACGGUAGCUAAUACCGCAUACGCCCUAUGGGGGAAAGGCUUCGGCCGCUAUUGGAUGAGCCCGCGUCAGAUUAGCUAGUUGGUAGGGUGAAGGCCUACCAAGGCAACGAUCUGUAGCUGGUCUGAGAGGACGAACAGCCACACUGGGACUGAGACACGGCCCAGACUCCUACGGGAGGCAGCAGUGGGGAAUAUUGGACAAUGGGCGAAAGCCUGAUCCAGCAAUGCCGCGUGUGUGAAGAAGGCCUGCGGGUUGUAAAGCACUUUCAGUUGGGAAGAUGAUGACGUUACCAACAGAAGAAGCACCGGCUAAAUCCGUGCCAGCAGCCGCGGUAAUACGGAUGGUGCGAGCGUUAAUCGGAAUUACUGGGCGUAAAGCGCGCGUAGGCGGCUAAGUCAGUCAGAAGUGAAAGCCCCGGGCUCAACCUGGGAAUUGCUUUUGAUACUGCUUGGCUAGAGUUUGGUAGAGGAUAGUGGAAUUCCAGGUGUAGCGGUGAAAUGCGUAGAUAUCUGGAGGAACAUCAGUGGCGAAGGCGACUGUCUGGACCAAAACUGACGCUGAGGUGCGAAAGCGUGGGUAGCAAACAGGAUUAGAUACCCUGGUAGUCCACGCCGUAAACGAUGUCAACUAGCCGUCGGGUCUAUUUACAGACUUGGUGGCGCAGCUAACGCGAUAAGUUGACCGCCUGGGGAGUACGGCCGCAAGGUUAAAACUCAAAGGAAUUGACGGGGGCCCGCACAAGCGGUGGAGCAUGUGGUUUAAUUCGAUGC
rnacentral:rRNA from 1 species